rnacentral:rRNA from 1 species
AACGAACGCUGGCGGCAUGCCUAACACAUGCAAGUCGAACGAAGGCUUCGGCCUUAGUGGCGCACGGGUGCGUAACGCGUGGGAAUCUGCCCCUCGGUUCGGAAUAACAGUUAGAAAUGACUGCUAAUACCGGAUGAUGACUUCGGUCCAAAGAUUUAUCGCCGAGGGAUGAGCCCGCGUAAGAUUAGGUAGUUGGUGGGGUAAAGGCCUACCAAGCCGACGAUCUUUAGCUGGUCUGAGGGGAUGAUCAGCCAAACUGGGACUGAGACACGGUCCAGACUCCUACGGGAGGCAGCAGUGGGGAAUAUUGGACCAUGGGCGAAAGCCUGAUCCAGCAAUGCCGCGUGAGUGAUGAAGGCCCUAGGGUUGUAAAGCUCUUUUACCAGGGAUGAUAAUGACAGUACCUGGAGAAUAAGCUCCGGCUAACUCCGUGCCAGCAGCCGCCGUAA